UCCUCAGCGCGUGCUUCAUAACCACAUUGCCGAACGAGACGCCUUUCAGGCGCGCGGUGCGAAUGUAUUGUGCGGUCAUGACCUCGGUCAUCGAGGCGCGCGUCAUCCGCGCGAUGUAGCCGAUGCCAUAGAGCGCGAUCGUCAUGACCGGCAGGAAGAAGUUUUCGAACGUGAUAUUG
rnacentral:ncRNA from 1 species